GACAGAGGAUGCAAGCGUUAUCCGGAAUCACUGGGCGUAAAGCGUCUGUAGGUUGUUUAAAAAGUCUGCAGUUAAAGGUUGAAGCUUAACUUCAAAAAUGCCGUAGAAACUUUUAAACUAGAGGAUGGUAGGGGUAGAGGGAAUUUCCAGUGGAGCGGUGAAAUGUGUAGAUAUUGGAAAGACCACCGAUGGCGAAGGCACUCUACUGGGCCAUGACUGACACUGAGAGACGAAAGCUAGGGGAGCGAAUGGG
rnacentral:rRNA from 1 species